GCAUUACUGACGAGUCCCAAACAGGACGAAACAGCUGUCCGGUAC
rnacentral:hammerhead_ribozyme from 1 species